rnacentral:rRNA from 1 species
GAUGAACGCUGGCGGCGUGCCUAAUACAUGCCAGUCGAGCGAACAGACGAGGAGCUUGCUCCUCUGACGUUAGCGGCGGACGGGUGAGUAACACGUGGAUAACCUACCUAUAAGACUGGGAUAACUUCGGGAAACCGGAGCUAAUACCGGAUAAUAUAUUGAACCGCAUGGUUCAAUAGUGAAAGACGGUUUUGCUGUCACUUAUAGAUGGAUCCGCGCCGCAUUAGCUAGUUGGUAAGGUAACGGCUUACCAAGGCAACGAUGCGUGGCCGACCUGAGAGGGUGAUCGGCCACACUGGAACUGAGACACGGUCCAGACUCCUACGGGAGGCAGCAGUAGGGAAUCUUCCGCAAUGGGCGAAAGCCUGACGGAGCAACGCCGCGUGAGUGAUGAAGGUCUUCGGAUCGUAAAACUCUGUUAUUAGGGAAGAACAAAUGUGUAAGUAACUAUGCACGUCUUGACGGUACCUAAUCAGAAAGCCACGGCUAACUACGUG